rnacentral:lncRNA from 1 species
AGUUAAAAUCCCCAGACAAUAAAACUAUGGGAUAGAAAAGCAGGGCCAUAUUUUUCAUAUUGAAACUUAUAACCAAACUUUUAUAUAAACCACAAACCAGAGCACUUCACAACUUUUUACUUUAAACUCUAAUCACAUCAAAAAGGAGAUCUCAAAAUAAGAUAAACUCUCAGCCAUCCGGGCCGUACUCAAGGCCCUUCUCGGGAUUAUCUUCUUCUCCCAAUAAUCUUUCUCCUUAAGUCUCACCUCCGAGUUCUCCUUCUCAGACUCCUCCUCAUCAGCUCCUCAUCGGGGUCCUGAAAUGUUUUCCCCAAACUGGGAUGAGACUACGUCUCAGCGAGUUCUACCCCACUAAGCCCGAUUAGUAAACUAUUAUACUACAGGCUGCCUAAACACGCAUAGGACAGAGGACUUACCUUGGCCUCAGACUCUACCUGCAUAUUAACACAGUUCAAUAGGCACUCAAGCAAUUACAACACAGAUCGAUAUCUCGAUCCAUCGACCUAGUCGAUUUCAUGUCAAUUCGACCAUUCCCCAGUCGUUUCCCUUAUUCAGGUUCAAAUCGUACUCACGACUUCACAAGCAUAGACUACCAAAUUUCUUGGCAACAAAUUACAGUCCCGAAGGACACGACCUAUCUUUAGGUAGCAAAUUACGGCCCAAUGGGCGCGACCUUUAAUGGUGGCAAAUUACGGCCUUAUCAGGCGCGACCCUUAUCAGGUGGCAAAUUACGGCCUUAUCAGGCACGACCCUUAUCGGGUGGCAAAUUACGGCCUUAUCAGGCGCGACCCUUAUCGGGUGGCAAAUUACGGCCUUAACAGGCGCGACCCUUAUCGGGUGGCAAAUUACGGCCUUAUCAGGCGCGACCGACUCCAAAUUCAGUGGCAAAUCUCGGCCCAACUGGCAUAGCCAUACUUCGGCGGCUUCCGAGGUUCAACUCAACCUCUCAUAGUCAAAUUCUAAUUGAAUACCGACAUUGAUCAAUCAAAUCAAUCUUGGGAUGAAUCCCCACAUACUCAUCAACUCACUCAAUUUUCAUACGAUAUUAACAUACCUGAUGGAUCUUAGCCAAGAGUAUAUUCAAAUCACUCUCACAAUUCUACUCACUUUACAACUCAACAAAGCAUUGCAAAUGCUGAAUAACAUACUUGGCCAAUCACCAAUCAAUAAUUCAAUCUCAAUCAAUUCCAACCAAUUUAGGGUAAAUCCCCAAAAUAUCACAAUUUAUUUAUCCAUGCAACGUGGAGCUCAAAUAAAUAAACGGACUAUGCCACGACGAUCAGCACGAGAUUUCGGUCGUCGGCCAUCAAAAUCUUAAUUUCCGAAAAAUAAUUAAUUAAUUUAUUAAUUUCGAAAAUUAAAUAAUUAAUAUUAAAAAAUUCAAUUUAGCUCAAAAUAAAGCCCGAUUAACUAAACGGACUUCACCACGGUCAUCAGCACAAUAUUCCGGUCCCGGGCCAUCUCAGUUGAAUUUUCGGAAAAUAAAUAAUUAUUUAAUUUAAUUCCGAAAAUUAAUAUUUAAAUACUAAAAAAUCCACUUAGGCCCGAAAAGCCUAAUUGGAGCCCACUAAGGGUCGAGAAAAAUCCCGAGGCACUUCCAAUAAUUAGUAGACCACGUCUACUUACUAAUUGCACAAUCAAUUUAUCUAAAUCAUAUCACAAUUGACUAAUAAUUGCUAAUUUAUUCUAAUCUAACAACCUAAACAUAAUUAAUUAAAACUAAACCAACCUUAAGCAUAAUUAGCCAACUAAUCCAAGAUUAGUGAGAUUACUCACCAAAUCGCGCGCAAAUCGGAUCAAUCCGACGGCGGCGACGCGAGUAACGAUUCUUCCCAAAGCACCGCUCGGGUUCGGGGCCCGGAAAUGGCCCAAAACGGGCCCGAACCAGCUGGAAACCCAUUUCGUGGGUUUCUGCCCUUGGCUGGUCGGAGCAGAUCCGGCGGCCAAAACGGCGAGGGAAGGCCGGCGGAGAGCAAGGGGGACGCCGAGGGAGGUCCGGCCGGGCUGGGCGGUGGCCGGAGGUGGCCGGACGGGGGCGGAACAGGGCGGAACCGAGCUGAGCAGAGCUGGAUCGCGCGGGGGAGGAACGCCUGGGCGCGCGCGGACGGCGGGACGGCGGCAGGCGC